rnacentral:rRNA from 1 species
GACGUAGGGCGCGAGCGUUGUCCGGAUUUAUUGGGCGUAAAGAGCUCGUAGGCGGCUUGUCGCGUCGUCCGUGAAAACCUGCAGCUCAACUGCAGGCUUGCGGUCGAUACGGGCAGGCUAGAGUUCGGUAGGGGAGACUGGAAUUCCUGGUGUAGCGGUGAAAUGCGCAGAUAUCAGGAGGAACACCGGUGGCGAAGGCGGGUCUCUGGGCCGAUACUGACGCUGGAGGAGC